UGGCCCCGUCGUCUAGCGGCCUAGGACGCCGCCCUCUCAAGGCGGUAGCGCGGGUUCGAAUCCCGUCGGGGCUACAAA
rnacentral:tRNA from 1 species